rnacentral:rRNA from 1 species
AUUGAACGCUGGCGGCAUGCUUUACACAUGCAAGUCGAACGGUAACAGGCCGCAAGGUGCUGACGAGUGGCGAACGGGUGCGUAAUGCAUCGGAACGUGCCCAGUCGUGGGGGAUAACUACUCGAAAGAGUAGCUAAUACCGCAUACGAUCUAUGGAUGAAAGCGGGGGACCGUAAGGCCUCGCGCGAUUGGAGCGGCCGAUGUCAGAUUAGGUAGUUGGUGGGGUAAAGGCUCACCAAGCUAACGAUCUGUAGCUGGUCUGAGAGGACGACCAGCCACACUGGGACUGAGACACGGCCCAGACUCCUACGGGAGGCAGCAGUGGGGAAUUUUGGACAAUGGGCGCAAGCCUGAUCCAGCAAUGCCGCGUGCAGGAAGAAGGCCUUCGGGUUGUAAACUGCUUUUGUACGGAACGAAACGGCUCUGGUUAAUACCCGGGGCUAAUGACGGUACCGUAAGAAUAAGCACCGGCUAACUACGUG